rnacentral:rRNA from 1 species
AGCGAACGCUGGCGGCAGGCUUAACACAUGCAAGUCGAGCGGGCCCUUCGGGGUCAGCGGCGGACGGGUGAGUAACGCGUGGGAACGUGCCUUCUGGUUCGGAAUAACCCUGGGAAACUAGGGCUAAUACCGGAUACGCCCUUAUGGGGAAAGGUUUACUGCCGGAAGAUCGGCCCGCGUCUGAUUAGCUAGUUGGUGGGGUAACGGCCUACCAAGGCGACGAUCAGUAGCUGGUCUGAGAGGAUGAUCAGCCACACUGGGACUGAGACACGGCCCAGACUCCUACGGGAGGCAGCAGUGGGGAAUAUUGGACAAUGGGCGCAAGCCUGAUCCAGCCAUGCCGCGUGAGUGAUGAAGGCCUUAGGGUUGUAAAGCUCUUUUAUCCGGGACGAUAAUGACGGUACCGGAGGAAUAAGCCCCGGCUAACUUCGUGCCAGCAGCCGCCGUAACAC